UACAGAGGGUGCAAGCGUUGUUCGGAAUUACUGGGCGUAAAGGGCGCGUAGGCGGUUUAGCAAGUCAGAUGUGAAAUCCCGGGGCUUAACUCCGGAAGUGCAUUUGAAACUGCUAGACUAGAGUGUGGUAGAGGUUGGUGGAAUUCCCAGUGGAGAGGUGAAAUUCGUAGAUAUUGGGAGGAACACCGGUGGCGAAGGCGGCCAACUGGGCCAUAACUGACGCUGAGGCGCGAGAGCGUGGGGAGCAAACAGG
rnacentral:rRNA from 1 species